AUCAGUAACGGCGAGUGAAGCGGCAAGAGCUCAAAUUUGAAAGCUGGCUCCUUCGGAGUCCGCAUUGUAAUUUGCAGAGGAUGCUUUGGGUGCGGCCCCCGUCUAAGUGCCCUGGAACGGGCCGUCAGAGAGGGUGAGAAUCCCGUCUUGGGCGGGGUGUCCGUGCCCGUGUAAAGCUCCUUCGACGAGUCGAGUUGUUUGGGAAUGCAGCUCUAAAUGGGUGGUAAAUUUCAUCUAAAGCUAAAUACUGGCCGGAGACCGAUAGCGCACAAGUAGAGUGAUCGAAAGAUGAAAAGCACUUUGAAAAGAGAGUUAAACAGCACGUGAAAUUGUUGAAAGGGAAGCGCUUGCGACCAGACUCGCCCGCGGGGUUCAGCCGGCAUUCGUGCCGGUGUACUUCCCCGUGGGCGGGCCAGCGUCGGUUUGGGCGGCCGGUCAAAGGCCCCUGGAAUGUAGUACCCUCCGGGGUACCUUAUAGCCAGGGGUGCAAUGCGGCCAGCCUGGACCGAGGAACGCGCUUCGGCACGGACGCUGGCAUAAUGGUCGUAAACGACCCGUCUUGAAACACGGACCAAGGAGUCUAACAUCUACGCGAGUGUUCGGGUGUCAAACCCGUGCGCGCAGUGAAAGCGAACGGAGGUGGGAGCCCCCUCGCGGGGCGCACCAUCGACCGAUCCUGAUGUCUUCGGAUGGAUUUGAGUAAGAGCGUAAAUGUGGGGACCCGAAAGAUGGUGAACUAUGCCUGAAUAGGGCGAAGCCAGAGGAAACUCUGGUGGAGGCUCGCAGCGGUUCUGACGUGCAAAUCGAUCGUCAAAUUUGGGUAUAGGGGCGAAAGACUAAUCGAACCAUCUAGUAGCUGGUUCCUGCCGAAGUU
rnacentral:rRNA from 1 species